rnacentral:ncRNA from 2 species
UUUGGGGUAGGAUAUAUCGCGUUAAGUGUCGGAGGAACGGAAUGUGAACUCCGAACGAAAAGUGAACUUCACUUGCGGUGCUAUAUUCGCAUUCACCAUU